GCCGAAAUCAAGAGUGGGAUGCUCAGCAGACGGAGCCACCCAGGUGCCCACCAGAAGGUUCUUUUGAGUAGUACAUCCCAUCAACAAAAAGUCUUUCCACAGUGCUUGGCAUACCGAAAGCACUCAGGGCUAGCUAUCGUUGUCAUCAGAACGCUUUGUGAAUUUGUGGGCUUCUAAUGGAAAUACACGCUUCGACGGACACUGACGGAAGUUAAACCGUGGGUAAGACAGACUUAUGUCACAGGGACGUAGUAUUUUUGAAAAAUGCCACGGAGAUUUCCUUUUGCAUAUACUCUUGUACUUCAUUUGCUCCCCACUCUCCUUUCAGGGAUAAGCUUUGUGGGUAGAUAUCCUCUGUUAUCUCCAUCCUCUACUCGUCCCCAUCCUGGAGCUGACUGACUGGGUUAUAUCAAUGGACUCUCUUGCCUCUGGGGUCUAGGUAGGUUUGGCCAAUGGGAUGCUUCAGUUGGGGAUCCAAAGAAGGAAGAUAAAGAUGCUGGUAUGUAUUCCUCUGGCUGGCUCCUUCCCUAAGGGUUUCGCUUGACCUGCUAGGACCCUACCGGAAAGUCACUGGUUCUCUCUCCACACUUUCUCCUUCAGGAUGUCAUAGGCCUUCCCUCAGGUCAUCAGGCCUUGGGUCUAGGUAAUGACUACACUGUUCCCCUAUACCUCUCCCAUACCUUUGCAACACCACUUUGAUUUAUUCUAUGAGGUAAGUCACUGGUUGACGUAGCUUCUGCUGUCUCGGAGAAAAUUAGAAUCCUUACAGCAGAAAGCGAAGAAAAUGGAGUCAUUUCUAGGGUCCUAAUUUCAAGAUGGCACCUUGCAUCCACGGCAAUGGAGAAAUCAAGCUUUGUGAAGAAAGAAAAGAGCUUUCUGCAUUUCUCGGGGUCUCCUUUAACAUGGAAAGAGUGAGGCUAGAUCAAAAGAAAGCCAAAGUGCGGAAUGGCAGAGGAAAAGAUUUAUGGGCGAUUUCCACCAGCCAGGAAGAGGAAGUAGAAAAUGUUGCUACAAGAGACAGGAGGGCAGUUCCGAGACGGUAGAACCUGGGUGUGGUCCACAGCUUGGUCACUGAGAAGCGGCUGCCUCUUCCCCUCAAGCCUCCCCUUUCCCCAACCCACCAGGCGUAAGCAAAAUUGGGGUGAUGAGGUGUUAGGAACCCUCACAGAAAACCACAGAUGGUUUGAGGGGCACUCAGCACAUCUCGGCUCACCCCCUGCCCUGUGCUUUCCUGCUGUGCCUACCAUGGUCCGCAGGUGGUAAUACAGCCAGCGUAGAGGGGUCCCGGAGGCCCAGAGUUUCUGUCUGCCCUGCUGAGAGGACGCCAAGGAGUAAGAGUAGCUGUGUCCUGCCACCAGCCUGUGGUCAGAGCAAGGAAGAGAGAGGCGACAAAGCACCCGGACCUGGGGAUCUGAGGGACCCCCAGGGACCCGAGGUGUCAGCAGCAGAUGCCAGCUGGACACCCACAAAGGACAGUGAGAUCUGCUACACGUACGGGAACACCAGCCCAGGACGUCCAGGGACAAGACCAGCUGGUAGCCGAGAACACCAAGGACCCGACCGAAAGGGUGUGUCGGCUUCCCUCUGCACCCAGAUACCAUGUUGGAGGGAGGAGGAGCGGCCCCUGGAGAGAAGGAAGAAACUGCCUUUGAAGUGGCAGAGUAUUUCCCCCAAAUGAGGCCGAGUUUACCUCAAAGUGAAAGGUUUCAAACAGGAGUAGAACAAGUUACUCUUGACUGACAAACUUGUUUUCUCUCUGCCAUCGAGGAGGAACGGGAGCUCCAGAGUAAGAGAGUGGGGAUGACCCACAUGAGCUUCAUUUUUUCACGCCUCCGAAUGUGUCGUGUACAUUUUGAUGCCCCGUCCUUGACUUCCUCAGAAGACUGACCCUUUACAUGGGACCUUGGUGUCAGAGGUGCUGAGUCACGUGAGGGAUGAUGCUCCAUCCGUGGAGAGGUUCCGAACUGGAGCUUUGUGGGACUCCAGCCUUCUUCAGGGAGGAACAGGCAGAAGGAUGCUGGAGGAGACACCGCUUUCCCACGGGACACCGUGUGCUAAGAGACUACGGAAGGACCCCCCGACAAGAGGUUUACAGAGCAGCCGUUGCUCAACUGGGGAAGCAGCUACGAGUGCGGGGUCUACAAGAGUGCACACAUCCGUCCCUCGAGAUGAUGCCCUCUGCCCGUGGGCUGGUCCUACAAGCCUCAGCUGGAUAGAACUCAAGUCAUUCAAGUUGAUUGGAUUCUCACCUCUUAAAAUCUUCACAAAGGAGUCUCUUUCAUCUGCUUUGGACCCCGAGCUUCAGGAAGGAAGAAGUAUUUGGUUGGUGGUGACGGCAAGCCUGUGAACACUGGGCACGUAGGCAGUAUCCUUCGUCCAAGUUUUACGAUUCCUCAUUCCCGUUGCUGACUCAUCGGGUUGUCUUGGAAUCUGAGGGGAGAAGGGCUGGGAGGCGGGGCGGCCGCGGAGAAGCCGGACCUUUUUGAGCAGAGCAGGAGCGCCACCUUGCGUUGCAAGCUUUGCAGGUAAGGAAGGAGUAAGGAAGAACCGGACAUGAUGAAGAGGCUCCCAUCUGCUGGGAAGAGAGAAUGAAAAGUACCCCGGCCUCCGGAAGGUGAGGAUCCUAAAGAGAAAAGCAAACAGAGCCUCCACGCCCUGCAAAUGACAGAUGUUUAACUCCUCUGAGGCUUUGUUCUUCACCUUAAUCACAGCUACACGAAGAAAAACACCAGCAAAGGCAUCAUCAGUGAGAUGAACGCAUUGACCCUCUAGAAUAUUUAUAAUUACACAGAUCUCAGCCAUGUUUGCAAGCGUGGGCUUCGUAUCAGCUCUGGAUGCCAGGACAGCCUGACGGAUCAUGAGGUUCCAGCCGUUCGGAAGACACCACUUUCCAGCGUCAGCUGUAAGUGUGCCUUCCAAGUCCAACCUAUUUCAGAUUCAAAACGUGCUGUGACUUUUGUUCUGGCGAAAGCUGCUGGUCCCAGGAGAGAAUGAGGCAUGUUCAAGCAUCCUUCUUUCCUUCGCUCCAUCAAGAUGCGCACCGCACGGGGAGUUCUGGGGGCAUCCCGGGGCUGGUUUGGAGGGGCUCCGAUCCGGGAGCCCCUCAUAUAGUGUCUCAGGAUGCAAAGUCCUGGGCUUGACUCCUCAAGGAUUUGGUCUUCCAGGAAGCUCGAGAAAACUUCUGGACACAGAGAUGUCUCCCUCCUGGCUAAACCUGCCUUCUCUCGCCUCUGUUCCACCCUGGGAAGGCCGGAACAGAUGAUUUAAUCUAGAUUUUUUCAACUUCAGGAAGAAACUUGGUUAUUUUGCGGACCCUUUCACCCGGGUUCAUCUUUCCUUGCCUUCUCCCCACGCACAUUGGCUUGAAUUAAGAUGUGAGUCCAAAGAGGUCAUUCGAUCUUCUGACUUUUGGGCUCAGGGCAGAGGCACAAAUGGAGUCCUGGUGGUUCCUAUGUAUGAAGGGUUUUACAUAGGGGUUUGGACCCAAAGGUUGUGGUGGUAAAUGACGGAUUUUCUCUAGAAUGGCUCUUCUGCGUGUGUCCUGGGUCAACCUUCAGUCAUAAUAGAAAUCGCAAUAAAGUGAGUCAAAUGAGUA